CCUCUCCUAAAAUUCGAAAUUGAGGGGUGGGGGGUUUUCAUUUGAUUUUUCAUUUGGGGUUAGAUGGGGUUUGAGAGAGGAGGUGAGAAGAAGAGAGAAAGGUGAGAAGAGAGGAGAAAACGCGAAGGUGAGAAGACGGAGGAAGAGCGAAUCGCAAAUCUUCCAGUUUUCCUCCUACCAACGGUGGCGGCUUGGGGCUUCCGGAGAUGCGUCGAGGUUGAGCUACGGCAAUGGCAGUUUCUCUUCUCCUUUCUCUUCUCCGAUGAGCAACGGCGAUGAUAGUGGAGCGAAGUGACAAGCACGACGGCAGGUUCAUGGUUGGUCGUCUCCUUCCUCUUUCUUCUCCGACGAGCGGUGGCGACAGUGGCGGCAAAAAAUAAACGACCUACUGUUUUGAUGCUUGAGACGAUUGGGACUAAACGGAUUAGAUGGGCUGAUUGCUAUUCCUUUUUCUUGCCAGCUCAGGCCCUCUUUAAGGUUGCCCUUUAAUACAGCCACCUAUCAUGAUUGCAAGUUAACGGCCUGCAACGCUGUCCUCUAGGAUUUUAACUUAUGGCUAGUUAUUUAGAGAUUCAUCAUCGGAAGGUACCAACACAAGUGCAACAAUAUGGAAGUUUCCCUCUUCCUAUGCAUCAGCUAGCAUUUAUAAAAAAAAUGAGCACAUGAACCUUGUAAGUUACCUGGAUACACAGAGCAUGGAGAGGAGAAGACUGUUGUUGUCGAAUAUGUUAGUAAUGGAAAAUUUAGAGAACAUGUAUAUGGUAGGACUAAGGCUUUAUUAAGUCAUCAAAUUCAGAAAUCACAUAUUAUGAUGAUAAAAACAAUAUUCAAUGACUUUUAUCAAUUAUUGUUAUGUGCUACAUAUUUCAGCUUUUGGGUUGUGCUUCAAUUCAGUUAGGACAAUAUUCAAGGAAAUAA